rnacentral:snRNA from 1 species
GGAUGUGAGGGCAAUCUGGUUGCAACAUCUGUCUCCCCAUUGAUCGCCACGGUUGAUUUGACUGAUCUGGCUGGCUAAGCAGGUGUCCUCUUCCUCCCUCAACGGUCCAUGUGCGUCCCUCCCAAAGCUGUGCACUAUGUCGAAGAGGACCACCUCUGAUAGAGGAGGACCGUUCCUCGGUCAAAGGUAUAUGAGUAGCUGCACUCCCCUGCUAGAACCUCCAAACAAGCUCAGAAUCCAGAUACUGGAAAGUAAUUUGGCAAAGAAAAAAGAAAGG